rnacentral:misc_RNA from 1 species
AACCAAUUAUGAUGAUAGCUCAUCCAAACUCCAGAAAAGGACAGUUGUUUUGUCCAGAAUAAUUUCGACCCUUUUAACAGAAUGUGCCUCUCUUGACUUUAGCUCAAAAAUAAAACCCAGAAAUCAACCCCAAAAAAAAUAAAGGAAUAACAAGAGAUAAGAAAGAAUAUACCCUAUACCAGGAAGCUAUGAAAUUCAUUCAAUGAAAACAAAAACCAAACUUUAUUCAUCGAAAUUUUUUUCAAUAAAAUAUAUUUUUUAUGAAUGACAAUAACAAAUUUGAGCAAACAAGCAAUUGCAUUACCCAGUAACAA